rnacentral:lncRNA from 1 species
UUCGUACGAAGUUCGUUCUGAAAUGGGGUGGUUGGUGUAUUGUAUAGUUCUCGAGAUUGGAUUUCACUCAAAACCCACUAAAUGACUCCUCCCACAAUAUUAUGAUGUUCCCCAAGUUUUGGACUCAAUCCGAUAUCGAGUGGUCCACGAAAUUUGACAAUUCAGGUUCCUCCGAAGUUCGUUCUGAAAUGGAGUGGUUGCUGUAUUGUUUAGUUCUAGGGAUUGUAUUUCACUCAAAACUUACCAAAUGACUCCUCCCACAAUAUUAUGAUGUUCCCCUAGUUUUGGACUCAAUCCGAUAUCGAUUGGUAAUUUGAAAUCGGAGAAUUCAGGUUCGUACGAAGUUUGUUCUGAAAUGGGGUGGUUAGUGUAUUGUAUAGUUCUAGGGAUUGUAUUUCACUCAAAACUUACGAAAUGACUCCUCCCACAAUAUUAUGAUGUUCCCCAAGUUUUGGACUCAAUCCGAUAUCGAUUGGUCCUUGAAAUCGGACAAUUCAGGUUCCUACGAAGUUCGUUCUGAAAUGUGGUGGUUGGUGUAUUGCAUAGUUCUCGAGGUUGGAUUUCACUCAUAACCCACCAAAUGACUCCUCCCACAAUAUUAUGCUGUUCCCCAAGUUUUGGACUCAAUCCGAUAUCGAUUGGUCCCUGAAAUCGGACAAUUCAGGUUCCUACGAAGUUCGUUCUGAAAUGGGGUGGUUGAUGUAUUGUAUAGUUCUGGGGAUUGUAUUUCACUCAAAACUUACCAAAUAACUCCUCCCACAAUAUUAUGAUGUUCCCCAAGUUUUGGACUCAAUCCGAUAUCGAUUGGUCCUUGAAAUCGGACACUUCAGGUUCGUACGAAGUUCGUUCUGAAAUGUGGUGGUUGGUGUAUUGCAUAGUUCUCGAGAUUGGAUUUCACUCAAAACCCACCCAAUGACUCCUCCCACAAUAUUAUGCUGUUCCCCAAGUUUUGGACUCAAUCCGAUAUCGAUCGGUCCACGAAAUUUGACAAUUCAGUUUCGUCCGAAGUUCGUUCUAAAAUGGAGUGGUUGGUGUAUUGUAUAGUUCUAGGGAUUCUAUUUCACUCAAAACCCACCAAAUGACUCCUCCCACAAUAUUAUGAUGUUCCCCAAGUUUUGGACUCAAUCCGAUAUCGAUUGGUCCUUGAAAUCGGACAAUUCAAGCUCGUACGAAGUUCGUUCCAAAAUGGGGUGGUUGGUGUAUUGUAUAGUUCUAGAGAUUGGAUUUCACUCAAAACCCACCCAAUGACUCCUCCCACAAUAUUAUGAUGUUCCCCAAGUUUUGGACUCAAUCCGAUAUCGAUUGGUCCUUGAAAUCGGACAAUUCAGGUUCCUACGAAGUUCGUUCUCAAAUGGGGUGGUUGGUGUAUUGUAUAGUUCUAGGGAUUGUAUUUCACUCAAAACUUACCAAAUGACUCCUCCCACAAUAUUAUGAUGUUCCUUAAGUUUUGGACUCAAUCCGAUAUCCAUUGGUCCUUGAAAUCGGACAAUUCAGGUUCGUACGAAGUUCGUUCUGAAAUGGGGUGGUUGGUGUAUUGUAUAGUUCUCGAGAUUGGAUUUCACUCAAAACCCACUAAAUGACUCCUCCCACAAUAUUAUGAUGUUCCCCAAGUUUUGGACUCAAUCCGAUAUCGAGUGGUCCACGAAAUUUGACAAAUUAUGAUGUUCCCCAGGUUUUGGACUCAAUCCGAUAUCGAUUGGUGAAUGAAAUCGGACAAUUCAACGUCGUAUGAAGGUCGUUCUGAAAUGGAAUGGUUGGUGUAUUGUAUAGUUGUAGGGAUUGGAUUUCGCCCAAAAGCCACCAAAUGACUCCUCCCACAAUAUCAUGAGGUUCCCCAAGUUUUGGACUCAAUUCGAUAUCGAUUGGUCCGGGAAAUCAGAGAAUUCAAGUUCAUACGAAUUUCGAUCUGAAAUGGAGUGGUUGGUGUAUUGUAUAGCUCUAGAGAUUGGAUUUCACUCAAAACCCACCAAAUGACAACUCCCACAAUAUUAUGAUGUUCCCCAAGUUUUGGACUCAAUCCGAUAUCGAUUGGUCCUUGAAAUCGGACAAUUCAGGUUCGUACGAAGUUCGUUCUGAAAUGGGGUGGUUGGUGUAUUGUAUAGUUCUAGAUUUUCGAUUUCACUCAAAACCCACCAAAUGACUCCUCCCACAAUAUUACGAUGUUCCCCAAGUUUUGCACUCAAUCCGAUAUCGAUUGGUCCAUCAAUUUGGCCAAUUCCGGUUCGUGCGAACUGUGUUCUGAAAUGGAGUGGUUGGUCUAUUGCACAGUUCUAAAGAUUGGAUUUCACUCAAAAUCCACCAAAUGACUCCUUCCACAAUAUUAUGAUGUUCCCUAAUGUUGUGUUCCUUCCAAGUGCCAAUAUAUGGUUAGUAUAAUGGUACAAGUAAGGGUGUCGAACCACAGGGACCGAUUGGACCUCUAUAAAUUACUAGUUUUGAAAGAACCCUAACUAAAAAUGAAAGUGACAAUUUGAAAGUAGUUUUUGUGUUGUAAAUGAAAAAUAACUUCCAAUGCAAAAAGAAUGUAGUAGUGAAUAAUAUAUUGAUGUAGAAAGAAUAGGGAAGAGACCAGGGAUUUCGAAUUCACCAUUGCAAAACUAAUUCCAUGUUUAUAAAAUUAAACCGUACUCAACUACCAUUCUGUUUCCAGAGUUCGUUUUACAUAUAUAUGAUCAGCCAUAUGAUGUGUGGUUUUGAUCAAAUUCUCCUAAUCUGCAACCUAGUUGGGAUGUUCAACUUUGGUUCCAAGUUAAGAGUCAUUAGCAUGCAAGAAAAUGUUAAAGAACCAAAGAAAAUACACAGCAUGAUGUUUGCAUAGCAUUCUCUUCAUUCAUUCACAUGUCUAACAAGAUUAAGCAUGAUGUUUACUAUAACCUUGUCUAGAUAAUCUGUAGGCGACUCUAAUGGUGAUCAAACAUUAAAAUUGACAAACAAAUUGAACAAUAGAUUCAGUGAAUGAAACAAGAAACAAAUUGAUGAACUGAAUACUUUAACUUAGAAACAUGGAUCCAUGUUGCAAGGCUACAUCGAAAUCCCUAGCUAUGAAUUUAGUUACACAUCAUGUUCAAAGAGAUUAAAACAAAAAUAAACAACAUGAGUGAAAAUAAAUUCAUGAGAGGAAACCCUUGGACCAAUUAUGAUGUUCAACUUCUCCAAGAACCACCUCUUGCGCUGAGUCCUGAUGGUGGAAAUAUAUGGACGGCUAGGGUUUUAGUGUGCAUGAAAGGAGAGAAUAACCAAGAAGUCAGAUCUAGGGUUGUGAAAUUCGUCCAAAAUAAAUAGGGGUUUUAGAAGUGGCUAAAAGGCAAGUUUUUAUGGGGUAAACAAGGCUGCAAGAUGUUCCAAAGAUAUCCUAAUGAAUCAGCCUUUAUUUUGCACGUUUUUGCCGUAUUUGGCACCUCCAAAUCAGGCUAGAAAUCCCCAUUGCUUUCCCAUUCCGCUCUUAGUCUUCAAACAAGCCAGGUUCGCCUUGCAUUCUUUAUUUGGACUUCAAAACAGAUCACGAAACUUGUUUCCACGUUUGAAUAAGGGUCAGCUCCAAAAAUGGCAUGUUUUCAUUUCUUUUGCCUUCAACUUGAUCCUAAAGUAUAUGCAACUGCAUACUAACACAAAAUAGGAUAAAACGCAACAAGUUUAACUCAAAAACAUCACAAAUAUACUAGAAAUGGAUGGUAUAAAUGUAUAAAUAUAUGAGUUAUCACCUAAGUUUUGGACUUGAUAAGUUCAUAAUUUCACACAUUUGCAUGCCUUCUUUCCUUAGUAAUUUUGUUAGCUUCUCUUUAUUUUGAGUCUCUUACCUAUGUUUGUGUGCUUUGUAGGUUAAGAUAGCAAGGGGAUGACAUUUGAUAUAAUUCAUGCAUGUUAAGGGCUGAGUGGCACAAGAGGAAUAUGAGCUUAAAGACAAAACCAAUUUGUGCCACACUCCUUGUCAGUCCAGUUUCGUAGGUCAUCUUGCAGGCCUCAUUUCAGUAACUUACACAGGUCGGAUGAGGAGACAUCCUUCCUAGAAGUUGUUCCAAUGGGUGUCUAUUAUAACAUAUCCAAAUUGCAGCCCAAUUGGAUAAAUCUGGAGCCAUCAACACGUCAAAGACUGAACCAAGUUCACAGAAAUGUCAUGUUGGCUGCCAUCAUAUUUAAUGUGGCUACAUCCCUAGAGCCAUGUGCUACACAUUAGAGCAGCCACACAUGGGAGACAAAUCAGUAUGGGAACUCAAAAACCAAGAAAAGUCCAACAGGCAAGUAUGGGCAGCUGGAGCAACAGGCAAGUAUGGGCAGCUGGAGCAACAGGCAUGUAUGGGCAGCUAGAGCAGUUGGCAGCAGCUAAGAGAGGUGUGCUUCACCAGCCAAAGGGGAGCACGAAUUCGCACUCUAUAAAUAGAGAGUUGAACACUCAUUCAAGGAGAGAGAGGGCAGACACACACAUUCAUUUCAUCCAUUACUUUCAUACACACAUUCAGAUUCACCACAAAGAGAGAAGGGAGCUUGGAGCUGUCCUGGGAACUUCCUCGCUGCCAUCAUCUAGUUCUUCUCGUCUCUUUAUCCUAUCUAUGUAUUUCUUAUUUUCUGUAUUUAUAGUUAUGUCUAACUAAUCCAUUUAGUUAGGGCUUAGGAUGAAGCCCUAGUCAUGAAUAUUCAAUGUUAUGGAUGAUUUUAUAGUUAAUUGAUUUCCUUGCUUUUAUUAUCAAGUUGUUAAUCUCUAGUUUAUUAUGUGCUUGAUGUAUGUUCUCUUGGAGUAGCUAACUAGGAUUUUAUGCAUCUAGCACAGGUUGGGAAGGGGUUUAGAUUCACCAAUUCUACUCUCCUUUCACAAGCAACACAUGAAUGGCCUAAGAAUCAUUGAAGGGGUUAAUAACCAUAGGUUGACUAGGACAGAUACCAUGUUCUAGGACUUGUGUGAUUAUCAUAUUCUCAAGGAGCUUAAUGACUCUUGUAUGCUUUAUUCUAAGUAGAUACCAUGCUUAGGUUGCAUAUUAGAGAUCACGUGUUGUGUAGAUACCAUGCAUAAUCACAUGCCUUAGGAGAAUCAUGCAUCCUGCACCUAGAUACCAUAGGCUUGUAUAAGAUCUAAUGAAGCUUGAGUCAAUUUCUAUGCAUUCAUCACUUGGAUAGGAAAACUAGUGGUGGAUUCCAAGGCUCUAACACCUCUCCAUCAUUGUUUCACAACUUGUUGAUUGCUGCCAGUGUUUACUUUCGAGCACUUUCAUUUCACUUUCUUGUUUUCAUUUCAACAACAAAACCCCCCAUUUCGAGUGCGUGUGUGGUGCUAGGAUUCUGUCCUAGACCUUGAGUAAUUAGCAAGAGGCAUUGUUGAAUUUGACCUUGCCUUUAGCUAGUUAGUCAGUUUCUUUGUUCUAUGUUUUUCUAGCAUUCUAAGUAAUUUAACUUGGAACCAAGUUACCAUUCUCCGUGGGAUCGACCUCGUAUUUACAUAAGCUAUACUAUAAACGGUUCGUGCACUUGCGAGAAUUAAAGUUGCUGUUUUUAAUAACUCAUUUUAGUUGUUAAGAAUAGGCUCAACAGGACUCAAUCCGAUAUCGAUUGGUCCUCGAAAUCAGACAAUUCAGGUUCAUACGAAGUUCGUUCUGAAAUGGUGUGGUAGGUGUAUUGUAUAGUUCUAUUGAUUGUAUUUCACUCAAAACCAACCAAUUGACUCCUCCCACAAUAUUAUGUUGUUCCCCAAGUUUUGGACUCAAUCCGAUAUCGAUUGGUCAAUGAAAUCGGGCAAUUCAAGUUCGUACGAUGUUCGUUCUGAAAUGGAGUGGUUGGUGUAUUGUAUAGUUCUAGGGAUUGGAUUUCACUCAAAACCCACCAAAUGACUCCUCCCACAAUAUUAUGAUGUUCCCCGAGUUUUGGACUCAAUCGGAUAUCGAUUGGUCCUUGAAAUCGGACAAUUCAGGUUCGUACGAAGUUCGUUCGGAAAUGGAGUGGUUGGUGUAUUGUAUAGUUCUAGAGAUUGGAUUUCACUCAAAACCCACCAAAUGACUCCUCCCACAAUAUUAUGAUGUUCCCCAGGUUUUGGACUCAAUCCGAUAUAGAUUGGUCAAUGAAAUCGGACAAUUCAAGUUCGUAUGAAGGUCGUUCUGAAAUGGAGUGGUUGGUGCAUUGUAUAGCUGUAGGGAUUGGAUUUUACCCAAAAGCCACCAAAUGACAACUCCCACAAUAUUAUGAUGUUCCCCGAGUUUUGGACUCAAUCCGAUAUCGAUUGGUCCUUGAAAGCGGACAAUUCAGGUUCGUACGAAGUUCGUUCUGGAAAUGGGUUGGUUGGUGUAUUCUAUAGUUCUAGAGAUUGGAUUUUACCCAAAAGCCACCAAAUGACAACUCCCACAAUAUUAUGAUGUUCCCCGAGUUUUGGACUCAAUCCGAUAUCGAUUGGUCCUUGAAAUCGGACAAUUCAGGUUCGUACGAAGUUCGUUCAUAAAUGGGGUGGUUGGUGUAUUGUAUAGUUCUGGAGAUUGGAUUUUACCCAAAAGCCACGAAAUGACAACUCCCACAAUAUUAUGAUGUUCCCUGAGUUUUGGACUCAAUUUGAUAUCGAUUGGUCCUUGAAAUCGGACAAUUCAGGUUCGUACGAAGUUCGUUCAUAAAUGGGGUGGUUGGUGUAUUGUAUAGUUCUAGGGAUUGUAUUUCACAAAAAACCCACCAAAUGACUCUUCCCACAAUAUUAUGAUGUUCCCCAAGUUUUGGACUCAAUCUGAUAUCGAUCGGUCCACGAAAUUUGACAAUUCAGGUUCGUACGAAGUUCGUUCAGAAAUGGAGUGGUUGGUGUAUUGUAUAGUUGUAGGGAUUGGAUUUCACUCAAAAUCCACCAAAUGACUCCUCCCACAAUAUUAUGAUGUUCCCUAAGUUUUGGACUCAAUCCGAUAUCGAUUGGUCCUUGAAAUCGGACAAUUCAGGUUCAUACGAAGUUCGUUCGGAAAUAUAGUGGUUGGUGUAUUGUAUAGUUCUGGAGAUUGGAUUUUACUCAAAAGCCACCAAAUGACAACUCCCACAAUAUUAUGAUGUUCCCUGAGUUUUGGACUCAAUCCGAUAUCGAUUGGUCCUUGAAAUCGGACAAUUCAGGUUCGUACGAAGUUCGUUCAUAAAUGGGGUGGUUGGUGUAUUGUAUAGUUCUAGAGAUUGUAUUUCACUCAAAACCCACCAAAUGACUCCUCCCACAAUAUUAUGAUGUUCCCCAAGUUUUGGACUCAAUCCGAUAUCGAGUGGUCCACGAAAUUUGACAAUUCAGGUUCGUACGAAGUUCGUUCUGAAAUGGAGUGGUUGGUGUAUUGUAUAGUUCUAGGGAUUGUAUUUCACUCAAAACUUACCAAAUGACUCCUCCCACAAUAUUAUGAUUUGCUCCAAGUUUUGGACUCAAUCCGAUAUCGAUUGGUCCUUGAAAUCGGACAAUUCAAGUUCCUACGAAGUUCGUUCUGAAAUGGAGUGGUUGGUGUAUUGUAUAGUUCUAGGGAUUGUAUUUCACUCAAAACUUACCAAAUGACUCCUCCCACAAUAUUAUGAUGUUCCCCAAGUUUUGGACUCAAUCCGAUAUCGAUUGGUCCUUUCAAUCGGACAAUUCAGGUUCCUAUGAAGUUCGUUCUGAC